UACGAAGGGGGGCUAGCGUUGUUCGGAAUUACUGGGCGUAAAGCGUGCGCAGGCGGCUUCUCAAGUCAGGGGUGAAAGCCCAGAGCUCAACUCAAGAAAUGCACUUGAUACUGGGCGACUAGAGGACCGGAGAGGAUAGUGGAAUUCCCAGUGUAGUGGUGAAAUACGUAGAGAUUGGGAAGAACACCAGUGGCGAAGGCGGCUAUCUGGACGGUUUCUGACACUAAGACUCGAAAGCGUGGGGAGCAAACAGG
rnacentral:rRNA from 1 species